GACGAACGCUGGCGGCGUGCUUAACACAUGCAAGUCGAACGGAAAGGCCCUGCUUUUGUGGGGUGCUCGAGUGGCGAACGGGUGAGUAACACGGGAGUAACCUGCCCUUGACUUUGGGAUAACUUCAGGAAACUGGGGCUAAUACCGGAUAGGAGCUCCUGCUGCAUGGUGGGGGUUGGAAAGUUUCGGCGGUUGGGGAUGGACUCGCGGCUUAUCAGCUUGUUGGUGGGGUAGUGGCUUACCAAGGCUUUGACGGGUAGCCGGCCUGAGAGGGUGACCGGCCACAUUGGGACUGAGAUACGGCCCAGACUCCUACGGGAGGCAGCAGUGGGGAAUAUUGCACACUGGGCGGAAGCCUGAUGCAGCAACGCCGCGUGCGGGAUGACGGCCUUCGGGUUGUAAACCGCUUUCGCCUGUGACGAAGCGUGAGUGACGGUAAUGGGUAAAGAAGCACCGGCUAACUACGUG
rnacentral:rRNA from 1 species